rnacentral:rRNA from 1 species
CAAUCUUAACGAUGGAUGUCUUGGUUCCUAUAGCGAUGAAGGCCGCAGCAAAAUGCGAUAAGCAAUGAAAAUUGCAAUGACUGUGAAUCAUCAGAAUGCUGAAUGUAAACUACACCAUUACUUAAAUAUUAAGUAGUAUAUAUGGUACUCC